UUUCUACAAGAAGCUUGAGAUCACAGCUGACUGUGUUCCUGAUGCAUUCACCAAACCCUUUUCCAUCUGUGGCCCUCCCUGGCUCUGUCACCAGCCCUCGCACCCUCCUGAUCACAGGAGUCACAAACCUCAGACAUGCAGCUCCUGUCCACACUUAAUAUAUGCAUGCAUUGGAUCACCCAGCCCUGGUCUUUCUGCCUCCCUGGAUAACUGCAUGACCCUGAGAGGGAACCUCCUUAGAUUUAGCAUCCUAGGUUCCUCACACGCCUCACCCUGAAUCCUGGCCCUCCCGCAGCCCCAGUGCCAUUUGUCCCAUCAGUGACCAGAUUCAUAUUCUGGUGUAGGCUCUGUUGCCGGAGCCAGUGCUGAGCCAGUCCGCCUCUUCCUCGAGAAGUGCCCGCCCUUCCCUCCUGUUAGGGUUGGCUCUCGAGCUUGUGUGCCAGUUGCUGGGUUGGCCGUGAGAGUUCUACAGACAAGGGGGAAGUACUCUUGGUGUAUUUCCUGUGGUGGGUUCACACGCAGCUAGACACAGCUAACUUGAGUCUUGGAGCUCCUAGAGGGGAGCUUCUGGAAAGGAAGGCUCUUCAGGACCUCUUGGGAGCCAGGUAGGAGUCUGGGACUACUAGUGAACCUAGACCUGUGGCUCUGGCCAGAGGGGCUAGGAUGAGAGACGGAGGGCAUUAUGGCGGUUGCUGGGAGAUGCAGCUGACCUUGGGGCUGGUGACUCGGGGGGUGGGGAGCCUGGGAAAGGCCAGGAUGUGGAUGGGCUGGUAUGGCAUUGAGCCUGAACUGGUCCAACUUGGGGUUCCCCAGUGCCUAGGAAAGUUGUCCCCUUGAAUGUCAGUGUGAAGGUGAAGGAGGAAGCAGAUGCCUGUUCAUAUGGAAACAAAGACCUGGCUGUGAAGAGGGGAGGCGGACACCAAAGUCAUGACACUUGGGUGGGACAGAAUUGAUCUGUGAGAGACUCAUCUAGUUCACGCCCUAGGUGACCCUGGGGGUGGUAUGGGGGUAGAUUAGAGAUCCCAGACUGGUAUCAUCUGGAGAGUAGGAGUCCCAGGAGCUGAAGGUUUCUAGCCACUGAAGUUUGGCUGAAGCAGGUGUGUCACAGCUGCUCAGGAUUCCCUGGUUAAAAAGUGAAAGUGAAAUAGAGGGUGGGGGCAGUGCUUUCCCAGAAGGAUUGCUCGGCAUCCUGCCCUUCCCAGAAGCAGCUCUGGUGCUGGAGAGAGCACUGCCUCCCUGUGUGACUGGGUGAGUCCAUAUUCUCUCUUUGGGUCUCAAUUUUGCCUUCCCUAAUGAAGGGGUAAGAUUAUACUAGGUAAGCAUCUGAUAACCAUUUGUAGUCAUGAGAGCUGGGGUGGGGAAGGUUUGUCACUUGACCCCCCAGCUCUGUUUCUAAGUGCUGAAAGAGCUCCAGGCUAUGCUACGGGAGGAAAAGCCAGCUACUGAGAAAAAGCGGGAGUGGUUUACCAUUCUCCUCCCCCACCUUUCACCAGAGAAGAGGACGUUGUCACAGAUAAAGAGCCAGGCUCACCAGCUCCUGACGUAUGCAUCAUGACCAUGAGACACAACUGGACACCAGACCUCAGCCCUUUGUGGGUCCUGCUCCUGUGUGUCCACAUCGACACUCUCCUGGUCAGAGCCACACCUGUCUCGCAGACCACCACAGCUGCCACUGCCUCAGUUAGAAGCACAAAGGACCCCUGCCCCUCCCAGCCCCCAGUGUUCCCAGCAGCUAAGCAGUGUCCAGCAUUGGAAGUGACCUGGCCAGAGGUGGAAGUACCACUGAAUGGAACGCUGACCUUAUCCUGUAUGGCCUGCAGCCGAUUCCCCAACUUCAGCAUCCUCUACUGGCUGGGCAAUGGUUCCUUCAUUGAGCACCUCCCAGGCCGGCUGUGGGAGGGGAGAACCAGCCGGGAACAUGGGAGCACAGGUAUGCAGCUGUGCAAGGCCUUGGUGCUGGAGCAGCUGACCCCUGCCCUGCACAGCACCAACUUUUCCUGUGUGCUCGUGGACCCUGGACAGGUUGUCCAGCAUCACGUCGUCCUGGCCCAGCUCUGGGCUGGGCUGAGGACAACCUUGCCCCCCACCCAAGAAGCCCUGCCCUCCAGCCACAGCAGCCCACAGCAGCAGGGUUAAGACUCAGCACAGGGCCAGCAGCAGCACGACCUUGACCAGAGCUUGGGUCCUGUCUACCUGGAGUGAACAGUCCCUGACUGCCUGCAGGCUGUGUGGAUGAGCAACACACCCCCUCCUUCUCUGCUUUGGGUCCCUUCUAUCACCAAAUUCAAACUCCAUUGCCACCUACCUAGAAAAUCGCAGCUUCCUUAUAAUGCCGCCGCCUCCUGCCAUUCUCUCUCCACCUACCCAUUAGCCUUCCUAACGUCCUAAUCCUCACACUGCUCUACUGCUCAGAAACCACCAAGACUGUUGAUGCCUUAGCCUUGCACUCCAGGGCCCUACCUACAUUUCCCACAUGACUUUCUGGACGCCUCCAACUAUUCUUGCUUUUCCCAGACAGCUCCCACUCCCAUGUCUCUGCUCAUUUAGUCCCGUCUUCCUCACCGCCCCAGCAGGGGAACGCUCAAGCCUGGUUGAAAUGCCGCCUCUUCAAUGAAGUCAUCCUCUUUCAGCUCUGGCCACAUUCUGCAGACUUCAUGUCUUCAUGCUGAGCAGAGGCCACUAAUGGAAAGUGGGAAGAGCCUGGAAAGAUGUGGCCCCAGGAAAAGGGAGAGAAAGGAGGUGGUCUGGAAGACUCAGCGGGAACAAGAUCCAGAGGCUAAGGAAGACUGGCCAGGCCCAAGGACCCAGCCAUCAAAACCAGCCUCAAAUCUGGUUGUGAUGGAGAAGUGACUUUGCUUUAAGAAAAAAGGAGGCAAGGUAGGGAGAGCGCCCACACUGUCCAUGCUCCAGGCCCCCUGGGCCAGCUCUGAGAAGGCGCCAGUGAAGGUCCAGGGACCAGAUCACGGUACGGGUAGGCAUCACUGUCUCUAGAGGUUUGGCUACUGUUGGCCUGGGAGCUAAGAGAAGGCACUGAGAGGGACAGUAGGCGGAGGACCAGGUGAAGUCAGCAUCGGGGACACAGGUGGGGCCACUCACUGGUACUGGCCCUUUAGUGCUUUGCCUGAAAGAGACACCGUCACAUGGCCAGAUGAGAACUUGCGAUACCAGCCUGCACCCACUGGCUCGAAGAUCUCUUCCUGCUCCCACACCCCUGUCUGGAUCCCUUCCCUUGUGAGCCCCAGGGUUAUCAGUUGCUGGCUGUGCCUGAGCAGCUCUGGGUGCUCUCCAUGAGAAUGGGGCCAUCUGUCCUGUCUUCUCUCCUUGGAGAGAAGCUACCAGGACAGGGCCACCUCUUACCCCGCACCCUCCAGCAGCCUGGCAUGGCCCCGUCUUGGAUGCUACUCGGUGGGGCGGUCUGGGGGGUGCCCAUGCUCUCAUCGGGUUUCCCUCCCCCAUCCUGCCAGUGCCUCUACCUUGCCCUUGGCUCGAGGGGUGGCAGUGGUGGCAGCAAUGGCAGCAGCAGUGGCAGCGCUGGCUGUGGUGGUGGCAAUGCGUGGAGAACGGCGGGUUCCGCUGCGAGUGUUGGGGGAAGCCUUGGACAGGGCCUUCUUUGAGGCUCCCCGCCGCAGAAGGCUGUUCCCUAGCUUCUUGGGUGUGUUGAGGAUGCUGAAGGCCAUCGACUGGCGCCGGUCAGCCUGCAAGGAAGGGCUGUCAGACCGGGAGACCCUGCCUUCCCAGGCCAGCCUGCUGUGCCAUGCUCUGCCAGCAAGGUCCUGCCAGGGCGUCGCUUCAUCCCCUCUCAGCCCCAGCCUCACCUGUUUAGUAGAAGCUGGAGCCGCUUUCUUCUGGGCCUCAGUAGUGCUCUGUUUGCGCCCUUCAUGUCGGUCUCGGGGAGUCAUGGGGCGUGGGAAACAGCUGGUGGCCUUCUUAGACUAUGGGGAAGAGGACAGUUAGGCAGACAGUAGCAAGAAGAGUCACAUCUGAAGCCAGGCAUCUUGUCCUCUCAGAGCUGAGUGGACCUUUUAAGUCAACUUGUGCAACCUGCUCCCCUUCCUAACUGUGGGCCAGAGCCUUCCCUUCCCAACAGUUCCCACCCAUGGGUCAGGCCCUUGGAGGGAGGGAAGGAGUCGGGGAAGUGAGGGAAGGAGAGAGAAGGCUCCCUUUAGUCCUUGGCGGGCUGGGCCUGACCUGGGCACAGGGCUGGAGCAACACCCAGGAGCCACCGCGCCUACCUCAGGAGUUCCAGGGCCCUGGUGGGGCUCUAGGGAGACCCGUUUGCGCUGCUGCCGGGUGGUGAUGCCAGUGCCCUCGGCUAUCUGGAUUGGCUGUAUGCUGGCUCGGCGCAGGGUCUCCUGGGGGUCUCCGGUUUUCAUCUCCUCAUCUGUGAUGGUGCCCAGGCUCAGGGAAGGCUGCAUGGGUGGAAGAGGCAGUCAGUGGACCGUAGGUGUAUGGAGAUGGAGGAGGACCUGGGGCUGUUCCAGAACUCUGCACUCACCCGACAUGUACGGGGCUUGCUCACCACCUUCUCCCUGGAGAGGGCAGAAGAGGUCACACGCAGAGGCUGCUACUAUAUCUUAUUCACCCGCCAAGGCUUGGUGCCUGACACCCAGAGGAACAAAUUAAGGACCAGGAAUUAAUUCCCAGGGGCUCCCUGGUACCCAAAGGACAAAAGCUUCCAAGAAGAGUCUGGCCAGCCUGGCCUUUCCAGCAGCCCAUCACUGCCUGAGAAGGGCACGGAGGACUCCCCACAGCUAAGUGUCACAAUUGUGCUGGGAAUCCCGGGCCCUUAACUCUGGCCAAGAGUGCCCCCAACACAGCCAGCCCCUAGAUGGGCAGGUAAGGAAGGCCCUGAGGCUGCAAGAAGGAGGGGCAGGUGGAGCUGGACAGUAGCAAGGAGGCCAGCCUUGGAUUUUUAAAAAGCUUUCCUCUUUUCCCUGUGCCACGACCACCUUCCAGUCUAAUUUUGGGGUACAGUAAGUCCCUGUAGUCCCCUCACCUGGAGGGGCCCCACUGGACACCCCGGCCUGGGAGCGACGAGCAGAACUGCGAGUGGUGGGGCGGUAGCCAGGUAAGCUGAGCAGGGCUGAGUUGCCAUAAUCGGGAGAACCCAGGCGAGCUAGAGACUGAGUAGAGGAGGUGGCUCGCAGGCUAGCCUGGGAAGCAGGAGCAGACCGCGUGCUAUAGAAGGAUGAGUUGGCACUGUCUGGCUCUUCCACAUCUAGCUUCUGGAAGACAGAGUGAAUCUGUUGCAGUGGGGUGGGCCCUGGCACUGUACAGAAGCCUCCCAUUCCCUCCUAAAGCCCUCAGAUCCCACGGCACAUCCAUGUGUUCCCAACUGCUUUGCAAAGGUCCUUAAAGUGUGUGUCUGCAAGAAAUGGGCCUUGUCGACAGAAGCCCUCACAAGGUGGUGCUGAUGUUGUCAAGACUCCUUUCUAUGCAUUUUUUUCAUGGAGUCUAUUCAUAAUGCUUUGAGGGAGGGAAUGCAGAGUGCUCAUCAGCCCAUUUUAGAGGUGAAGUGCAAAGAAAUAAAGUGACUAGCCCCAAAUCACACUGCUAGGAAGUAUCAGAGCUGGGGCUAGGCCCCAUGUCUCCUGACUAGUCAGGCUCAUCCCACAGGCCUCUGCUGUCCCUCAGUCCAAACUUCCAGGGCCUUUACCAUCUUCUAGAACUUCCCCAACUUCUUGGUAGCAGGGAACACCCUGCACACACAGGUCCUCCCUGCUGUACCAAGGUCCCCUCUCCCCCCCUCCCAAACCUCCCCUUCAAGAUGUGAAAACAAAGGCAAGGGCCCACAGCCUGGCAGGCAGUCCACUGGGCAGCAACAAUGCCUCUCAGCUGCAUGGGGCAUGCUGGGAGGCACAGGAUGGGCUGCAGCUUCGCCACGUUCUCUCCCUUCACCCUGCACAGGCUCAGUGCUAUGCAUGGAGAGAAUGCUAGCCUUAGUCAGGAGGUAGGGAUCUAAUCCCAGCCCUGCCUUUUUCUUCAGAAGUGCCCCUAACCAAGUCACCACCCUUUUUAAGACCUCAGCUUUCCCGCUAUAACAUGGACUGGCUGCUCAUCCCUCCCUGCUCCUGACUGAGUGCCCAAUGCAAAGACACCCUUGAAGGGAAGUGGGAAUUGCUGCCCUGCAGCCCGUCCCAGCAGCCUGACCUUGGUCAUGGUGAUGUUGAUGAUCUGCGUGGUGCGCCGACGAGCGGAGCGGGUCUUACGACCCGAGUCCAGGAAGACGUCUCCCAGGGAGUCCAGGCUGCUCUCCAGGGGGGCCUGACUCCGAGCAGGGAUGGGAGUGAAGUAGAGACUCUCCAGGGAUUCUACCUUGGGGGGCAGGCGCUGGGAGAUAGGUGAGGCUGGUUCUCCGGGGAUGCUGGUGCCGUCUGGCUGGGUAUGAGGCAGCUUGCUAUGGAAAGGAAACCUGCUGAGGUACAGUCCUUCAAGCUAGAAGGCAUUUUGUCCAGCCCUUUUCCAAACUGACCAUUUCCCAUACUUACUACAAGCAGAUGAGGUCAGGCAUCCCAUCUCUCUGAUUUUUCAGAGGUACCAAGGAAAGCCCUUGACCUGGGCCUUCCUUUCAGUCCACUCCCCUGGCUUCUCCUAUACCUCCUCAUAGUGACAAUGCCCAGACCCAGAUGUCCCAUCCCCACCAGAUGCCCAUGGCUGCUCCACAGCAAACACGUCCCAAUCUAAGCCCACUUCUCUGUUCUUCCUCCUGCAUCUCCCAUUUCAGUGAAUAGGAGCGCCCUCCACUCAGGCCCCCAAGCCAUGAACAUGGGCAUAAUCCUAUGUCGUCCUGCUUGGCAAGCCCAAUCACCAAGCUUCCUGAGCAGCUCUCCUAACCACACCUCCCUCCAUGCUCAUGUCCUUUCCCUGGUCUGCUUCAUCUCCUCUCACCUAGACUCAUCAUGGCACUGACAGAGGCAGAUGAGUGGUGACAAGCAAGGACUCAGGCCAGGCUGCCCAGGGUCAAAUCCCAGCUCUACCACUGGGGGACCUUGGGCAAGUGACUGCCCCUCUAUGCCCCAGAUUCAUCUGUUAAAGGAGACAGAAUAAACCUACCUCAGAGGGUUGUUGGGGGAUAAAUCAGGUAUAAUUGUUAUGAGUGCUUUAUGUCUAGCACAAAAUAAGUACAAUGUAAGUGUUUAAUAAAAACAAUAUAUUUUUCCAGUCUUAACUUCUA